CCCCUUUCCCCUUCCGUUUGUCACUGUUUGCCGUCAUCCCCGAGCUUGGCCGUCCUCGUCCAUGGCCAUGCUCAAGUUUCCAUGUACGUGCGCGCCCCCAGCGCCACGCGCGCCUUAGCCGUCCGCCGCCACGCUCCUGCUGCUUGCUAGGUACGCUGCUGCUUCGUGGCUUAACCGCUGCUGCUGACGCCCACUGUCGUAGCCGCCCGCCACUGUUGCCUGAUGCUGUUGCUCCUUGCUGAUGUCACCACUGCUGCAUGUGCGCGCCGCUGCCCACUGUGGCCCGUGCUUGCUGGCCGCGACCUGCGCGCCAUGCCCAUCGCUGUUCCCGGCCGCCCCUGGUGUGCUCCCCUUGUGCCUGCAGUUGGUCGUGUCCAUGGCGCCGAGCGCCUGUGCGUACAUGUGUGCCCAAGCACCAGUGAGCCGCAGCUGGCGCUAUGACUGACGAGGCUGGCCCAUUUUAGUGAAGCACUAAUAGGAGUUUAGUUAGGGAUUGACUGAGAACGGCGAUUGUGCGGACGGGCUCGCCUGCUCUCGGAACGUUUGCCAAUCAGACAACGACGCGUUCCAUACAAGAUUGAAUGCGAUCGUAUAUAUACCCAACGUAUACAAACAGUGGAACAGUGAUUGGCGGUGACGGAGCCGUGCGAAGUAACACUGGCUUAUCGGUACAGCAUGCUCCUGUCCCGGUGGUACAUUACAGCACGCGUGAAAACCGGGACGGCAUGGAAACGACGCUAUCCGGACGGAUAAGUCAAGGGUUGCAAUGUGGGUCCACACUCGUGCCCGACAGUAAAUAAAGGGAAAAAAGAAGUCUAUCCUUUCGAGCGCCGCACGGGGCGAGAAGCUCAGCGCUAUGGCGAUGCGGCGCUCGAAGCUCAGCGCUAUGGCGAUGGCGGAGACGGCAGACGACGGAUUUCAGUUCCUAUCAGAUCCAACCGACAGCGGCAGUAAAUCAUUACUGGAUGGCGAAGCAAUUCAAACUUUGGUGUGCACAGCCACUGAAUCCAGCAUUGGUGAUGUGGGCGAUACAGAAGAGACAAUACAAGUAGAUGUCAACAGCACUUGCAAUGGAGUGGCCAUGUCCCUGGCAAACUCAGAACAUUCAACAAGCAAAGAUAACCCGCAAGCACCUGGCUGGACAAAGAGGUAUACAAGUGUCAAUGCGUGUUUCUAUUUCGAACAUAUGCCAACUUUGACUGGCAUGUAUGUUCCCUCAAAAAAUACAAUAGUGUAGUUAAAGUGUUGAACAUUUGUAUUGUUUGUGGGAGUCAACAAUCACUUCCAAAGUGUGAUUUUCGGUGGGGGUCUUAGUAAGGGAUGAGACAGUGGAAACAUUUACAUUGGUGUUCACUGGAUUUAUCCGCAUGAUGGGCGGCAAACAUCCACAGAACUUGCUCACAGUGCAGAGCCAUGGAGGUUGUAGCAAUAGAUAAGGUGAUGCCAAAUACCAGACAUCGCUGGUGCAAGUGGCAUGGCCUGAAGAAGGCAAAAGAAUCUCAUGGCUCAAAUUGCACAAAGAGAAGCAAGUUUAGAACGGACUUCCACAAGAUAAUACACCACGUGCUGACAGCUGAUGUGUUUGAGACUGGAUGGAAUUGAUUGACAGAAACACAUGGUUUGCAAAAACACCCUUACCUUACUCAAAUCUACUCCGUGCAGAACCAUAUUUCAAGAACACAACCGCCACCGUGCAUCACAUGUAGUUGUUGUGCACGACGCAAUGUGUUUAGAAGACAGAAUUCAGUCGAACAAGUCGAAAGGUAAAGAAGUGAUUGUGUUGCAUGAACCACACAAUGGAUAUGGGCUGAUGUUGUAGGUAGUGCAGUUGGAAAUUUCAUUGGGUUAACUGCUACAGAGCGUAAAUGGAAGGUCGGUCGACCAACCAGCAGCAGGGACAAGCCUCCAUAUAUGAUGAUCGCUGUGCAAAGAGCCAAAAAUGUAAGUUGGUGCCACAUAUGGGUGUUGCUGGAGAAUUUGGUACAAGCAAGCAUCCACGCUUUUGCAGUAUAUGUCGUCAGCCAGGGCACAAGAGCACCACGUAUCCAUAGAGCGGUGACCUCCCUCAAAUGGCAUGCAAAGAAGCAAAAUGCUCGAACUGCGGAGUGGGAGGGAUCGGAAGAACACCUGCAACAACCCUAAGGUUGUGCUACAUGUUGCCGAGAAAGGUGCCCUUGUACGGGCUGUAGCUCUGUGAUUGAACUGAAUAAGCAGUGCGUAGCACUGACAUUUGGCUGUUUUUCCUUGUAUGAUGAGGCUUAGUAGCCAUUGGUGUGAAAUGGAUUAUGCAUUGUCGGGUUAGUAAUUGUGAUGAUGUUUCUCUUCGAUUAGUCUCAACCUCUGACUUA